CAAAAGAAUGGUUUCGCUCCCCAAUUUUCAGAUUCCCUCCUCAUCCAAUUUUCUUAUUCCCUCUUCAAUUUUCAGAUUCCCUUUUCACCCAUAUCGAACUCCCUCUUGGCUUGCUCAUUACAACAGAACAAAAAAACAAAUUGAUUUCCUCUCCUUCAGCUCUCCUUGACCUAAUUUCGCUCAAUCAACCUAGAUUGAAGAUUGAGGACCAUUCUCGCCUCCGUUGAUUUAGGAACUGAACGAAAAAUUUGAACUGAUUCAAUUGGAGAGCUGAUCUCUGGGCACCUCCUAGCCAGAAGCCAACAUCAGUUUCUAUCUCCGUAUCAUGCACCACCGGUUGAUUUGCUUAAGAAUCAUGGAAAUCCAAACCAGUCAUGAGCCUGAGCUUGUAUUAAAAAACUUUACAACAUGCGUUGGUCAUCAUAUUGGAAGGUUCUAUGGCAACAAAAGAAGUUGCUCAUUGAGGGUGGCAUUUAUACAUAUAUGAAGAUUCAAGUUUUGG